UACGGAGGGUGCAAGCGUUGUUCGGAUUUACUGGGCGUAAAGGGUGCGUAGGCGGUCUAACAAGUUAAGGGUGAAAUCCCGGAGCUCAACUCCGGAACUGCUCUUAAAACUAUUAGACUAGAGUAAGAUAGAGGCAGAUGGAAUUCCUGGAGUAGCGGUGGAAUGCGUAGAUAUCAGGAGGAACACCGGAGGCGAAGGCGGUCUGCUGGGUCUUAACUGACGCUAAGGCACGAAAGCAUGGGGAGCAAACAGG
rnacentral:rRNA from 1 species